GCAACCUUGGCAGCAGCUACCACAACUACUACUGUGAUCAAGACACAGUUACAACAGCAGCUGUGCUAAUGGUGGCAGGGAAAUGGACACUUGCUGUUGGUUAGCUCAAGUGCCCCGCCCUGAAGUUCGGUUUGCCCUCUGGGGGCGUGGCUGCAGAGACAGUUCAUAAAUUUGGACCAAUAAUAUUGCUACUAUUUGCAAACCCUUAUUAGCAUAAAGGAGAAUAGAUAGCAUUGACACAAGAGAUAUGUACACGCUAGCUGCGCACACUCAAGCACCAAGCCUCUGUGCAGUGUUCAGAGAUAGAUUUUGGCGUUUCGAUUUAGCAUACUCAGCACCCUGAACCCUGCAAAACAAAAUUGGUGGUGAGCUUCUGUGGUCUGCUUGAAUACCUGUGAGUAGAGCCUGCUACACCCAAGGCACCUGCACCCUUGGCUGCACAGGCCUGUCACUAGGAAUUCACCCACCAGUACAAGCAGGAAACUCUACUUAUACUACAGGGACCUUUUAGCAAGAUGUACUUAUUUAUAUAUAUCAAUACAAAUGGGAUUUUAUUUUUUCAUAUAAUUUCACACAUUAUUUAUAAGAAAAUGAUUUAAAAAUUAGACACAGGCAAUACAUGGUGGCAAAUACCUGUAAUCCCAGUUAUUGGGAGGCUGAGCAAGGAGGAUUGCCAGUUCAAAGUUACCUUGUCAUUUUAAAUGACUAAUAGAUAAAUUCCUACUUCCAGGAAUUUAUCUGUUUUACAUAAAUUGUCAAAUUUGGGGAUCAAGAGUUGUCUAGUAUUAUAUCAUUUUCAUAUUAAUAUCUGUGGGGUCACUUUUAUUCCAGAUAUUGACAAAUAUUGUCCCCUACCUUUCAAUCAGUAUAGUUAGAAAUUUAUCAAUUAUGAGGGUUGUUUUACUAUCCAGAUUUACAUUGAAUUUUCUUUAUUUAUCUUCUUUUGUCUGUUUUACUGAUUUGAGCUUCAUAUUUGUAAUAUUUUGCCACAUUUUUUUCAAUGUGAAUGCUCAGGUUAAUUAUUUUAAAACUAUUUUCAUUCUAAUAGAAACAUUAGUGCUACACAUAUUUCUCUCAACACUAUAUAAAAGCACUCCAUAGAUUUUUACCUAUAUCUUCAACCUAUUUGUACCUUGGAUUCAUGGAUUAUUUAUAGUUAUGCUCUUUUAUUGCCAAAUUGUAGGGAUUUUAUGCAUUAACUGUCUCUCUUUCUCCUGUGUGUACCUGUGUGUUGCCCACAAAUAGACCCAGUGCCUCAAGUAGGCAAUAUGAGUGCUGUACCACUGACCUAUUACCCCAGCUCCCUUAUUAUUGAACAAUAGUUUGUAUGAUAUCCAGAAUGACACAUUUUGAGGUUGUUUUACCUGUGGUCUAGAUUUUUGAAUAUUCUGUGUGCAUUUGAGAAGUGCCCUUUCUUCUGUUGGUGGGAUUUUUUUUUUCUGUAAAUAGCUGAUGGUUUUGUAAAGGUCAUUUUCUUCUAUGAAUUUGCUGAAUUUCUGUGUAAUUUUUCUAUGGGUUGUUGAACAAGUGCUGUUGAAAUCGUCAUCUUUGUCAUUGAAUUUAAAUAGUUUGCUUAUAGGUCUAUUAAUUAUGCUUAAAUAUUUAAAACUUUUGGGGAGAACAUGCAAAUUUAGGAUUGUUAAGACUUAUGGAAUCAUUCUGUUCAUCAGGUAACAUGCCUUCUAUCUCACAUAGUAGUUUUUUUCCUGAGGCUUAUUUCACAUUACCAGACACAUUUUAGCCUUCUUUUGGUUAGUGAUUUCAUAAUACAGAUUUUCUUCCCAUUGCUCAAAAGAUAAUAAAUGAUUUUAACUAAAUGCCUACCAAUAUAGAAAUAUCCUUAUUGUAGUAAAUUUU
rnacentral:lncRNA from 1 species